rnacentral:misc_RNA from 1 species
GUCCAAUAGAGUUCUUUCUUCUUUUUUUUUUUUACAGACAAACAUAGAACUUUUUAUUGCAUUUAAGAUGCUCUGUUGUGUAGAGGAAAAAAAAGAAGAAAGAACUCUAUUGGACACUCCAUGAGCUACAGUUGACAUUCUCAGCACAACCGCUAGCAAGCAUAAUUUACAUUAUACAAAUCCAUGCAGUUAAUAAAAAUACAAAUUCUCAAGUGUAUGGAAAACUUGCAUUGCAUUGCAUGUGCAAAAAAAGAAAAAAAAAAAAAAGCAAGCAUCUACUCGCAUCUACUCUCAGAUGGUGGUAUGUGGGCCCUGUUGUCCAUGUUCUUCCAUUUUCUUUCUCAUCUU